rnacentral:misc_RNA from 1 species
CCAGCAAUCAUCACACCAACAGAUUGUAUCAAAUCAGAUAUAACAUGCAGGUAAGCCCCUUCAAUAUUUAUGUUUGAUGGUUUGCUGCAACUAUGGCAUGAUGCUACCAGUUUCGAGCUCUCUUCUUCAUUUCUUGGAUGCAAUUCUUGCAUUUCAUGAUCAUGAUUGUGAUCAUGACCGUGACCAUGGUCAUGAUCCUUGCAAGGACU